GACGAACGCUGGCGGCGUGCUUAACACAUGCAAGUCGAACGGAAAGGCCCUGCUUUUGUGGGGUGCUCGAGUGCCGAACGGGUGAGUAACACGCGUGUAACCUGCCCUUGUCUUUGGGAUAACUUCAGGAAACUGGGGCUAAUACCGGAUAUGAGCUCCUGCUGCAUGGUGGGGGUGGGAAAGUUUCGCCGGUUGGGGAUGGACUCGCGGCUUAUCAGCUUGUUGGUGGGGUAGUGGCUUACCAAGGCUCUGACGGGUAGCCGGACUGAGAGGGUGACCGGCCACAAUGGGACUGAGGUACGGCCCAGAGUCCUACGGGAGGCAGCGGUGGGAAAUAUUGCACAAUGGGCGGAAGGCUGGUACAGCGACGUCGGGUGCGGGAUGACGGCCUGCGGGUUGUAAACCGCUUUAGACUGUGACGAAGCGUGAGUGACGGUAAUGAGUCAAGAAGCACCGGCUAACUACGUG
rnacentral:rRNA from 1 species